rnacentral:rRNA from 1 species
GAUGAACGCUAGCGGCAGGCCUAAUACAUGCAAGUCGAACGGUGUCUUCGGACAUAGUGGCGCACGGGUGCGUAACACGUAUGCAACCUACCUUACGUUGGGGGAUAGCCUUUCGAAAGGGAGAUUAAUACCGCAUAAGACAGUAGCUGGGCAUCCAGCAGCUGUUAAAGAUUUAUCGAUGUAAGCUGGGCAUGCGUCCAAUUAGCUAGUUGGUGAGGUAACGGCUCACCAAGGCAAUGAUUGGUAGGGGAACUGAGAGGUCAAUCCCCCACACUGGCACUGAGAUACGGGCCAGACUCCUACGGGAGGCAGCAGUAGGGAAUAUUGGGCAAUGGACGCAAGUCUGACCCAGCCACGCCGCGUGCAGGAUGAAGGCGCUAUGCGUUGUAAACUGCUUUUAUACAGGAAGAAACGACUCUUGCGAGAGGCGUUGACGGUACUGUAUGAAUAAGCACCGGCUAACUCCGUGCCAGCCGCCGCAGUAAUAC